rnacentral:rRNA from 1 species
UACGAAGGGGGCUAGCGUUGUUCGGAAUCACUGGGCGUAAAGCGCACGUAGGCGGAUUUGUCAGUCAGGGGUGAAAUCCCGGGGCUCAACCUCGGAACUGCCUUUGAUACAGCAAGUCUUGAGUCCGAGAGAGGUGGGUGGAAUUCCUAGUGUAGAGGUGAAAAUUCGUAGAUAUUAGGAAGAACACCGGUGGCGAAGGCGGCCCACUGGCUCGAUACUGACGCUGAGGUGCGAAAGCGUGGGGAGCAAACAGG